UGCGUAGGCGGUUUGGCAAGUCUUAUGUGAAAUCUAUGGGCUCAACCCAUAGUCUGCAUAAGAAACUGCCGGGCUUGAGUAUGGGAGAGGUGAGUGGAAUUUCCGGUGUAGCGGUGAAAUGCGUAGAUAUCGGAAGGAACACCUGUGGCGAAAGCGGCUCACUGGACCAUAACUGACGCUGAUGCACGAAAGCUAGGGAGCAAACA
rnacentral:rRNA from 1 species